GGUUGCUUGGUGUAGUUGGUUAUCACGUGACCUUCACACGGUCAAGGUCGCCGGUUCGAACCCGGCAGGAACCA
rnacentral:tRNA from 4 species